CCUACGGGUGGCAGCAGUGGGGAAUAUUGCGCAAUGGGCGAAAGCCUGACGCAGCGACGCCGCGUGAGGGAAGAAGGCCUUCGGAUCGUAAAACUCUGUCAGCAGGGAAGAACGGUCACUGUGCUAUUCAGCCGUGAAUUGGCGGUACCUGCAAAGGAAGCACCGGCUAACUCCGUGCCAGCAGCCGCGGUAAUACGGAGGGUGCGAGCGUUAAUCGGAAUUACUGGGCGUAAAGCGCUCGCAGGCGGUAUGUCAAGUCAAGGGUGAAAUCCCCGCGCUCAACGUGGGAACUGCCUUUGAAACUGGCAAACUAGAGUGUGUGAGAGGAUGGUGGAAUUCCAGGUGUAGGGGUGAAAUGCGUAGAGAUCUGGAGGAACAUCAGUGGCGAAGGCGGCUAUCUGGCACAUAACUGACGCUGAGGAGCGAAAGCGUGGGUAGCAAACAGGAUUAGAUACCCGAGUAGUC
rnacentral:rRNA from 1 species